CGAUGUCUGAUUAGCUAGUUGGUGGGGUAAGGGGCCUACCAAGGCGACGAUCAGUAGUUGGUCUGAGAGGACGACCAGCCACACUGGGACUGAGACACGGCCCAGACUCCUACGGGAGGCAGCAGUGGGGAAUUUUGGACAAUGGGCGCAAGCCUGAUCCAGCAAUGCCGCGUGAGUGAAGAAGGCCUUCGGGUUGUAAAGCUCUUUCAGUCGAGAAGAAAAGGCUGCAGUGAAUAACUGUAGUUUAUGACGGUAUCGACAGAAGAAGCACCGGCUAACUACGUGCCAGCAGCCGCGGUAAUACGUAGGGUGCGAGCGUUAAUCGGAAUUACUGGGCGUAAAGGGUGCGCAGGCGGUUUUGUAAGUCAGAUGUGAAAUCCCCGGGCUUAACCUGGGAAUUGCGUUUGAAA
rnacentral:rRNA from 1 species